rnacentral:rRNA from 1 species
AGAGUACGUGAAACCGUUCAGGGGUAAACCUGAGAAACCCGAAAGGUCGAAAGGGGAGAUUCAGCGUGUCUCGAUUGCGGCGCUGGAUGGUCGUGCGACGGAAGACGUACGCGUCAUCCGCACCUUCCGUCCUCCGAACCGUAUUCGAACGCGUGCACUUCUCCCCCUGUAGGACGUCGCGAUCCGUUGGGUGCCGGUCUAAGGCCCGCAGUGGAGCCCGUUCGGACGGUUUACCGUUCCGGACGAACCUGCGGUGUUUCCCGGUCGGCUCGCUCGACGGUAUACAGAUGGCGCGGGGCCGCUACACAUUAGUUAGCGUCCGACCGGCGGCAAGCGCGCUCGUCGUGACGGUGAUCGGACCUGGUGCCGGUCCUGUCCCCGAGUGGCUGUUCGCUGCCGUGUUCUCGGACAGACCUCGUCGAAACGCCGAUCUGCGACGCUAUAGCUUUGGGUACUUUCAGGACCCGUCUUG